rnacentral:lncRNA from 1 species
AGCAACCAUUGGACCUCACUGGAGGACCCUGAUCAGGUGACUUUUUCCUCUGAGUCUCAGUCUCCUCAGCCACAAAGUGAGCUGCUGGGGGGGUCAGAGCAGCACCACGUAGGGGAGACAGGCAGACACGCCUAUGGCGCAGCCCCUCUGAGCUGUACCCCAGCCUCAGCCUCCCCAUCUGCUAAGUGGGAGCCAGAGGCUUCUCCCCUGGGACUGGCUCCCUCCUCCCAGUCAGCGGCUUCCUGGAGCUGGAGGAGGAGAAGGGGGCUAGGCAGGGGCAAGGUUCUCGCCUCCACCUCCACCUCGUCCCCUGCCACCCUGACCCUGCAUCACCUCCCUUAGCAAAUAUUU